AUUGAACGCUGGCGGAAUGCUUUACACAUGCAAGUCGAACGGCAGCACGGACUUCGGUCUGGUGGCGAGUGGCGAACGGGUGAGUAAUGUAUCGGAAUGUGCCCAGUCGUGGGGGAUAACGUAGUGAAAAUUACGCUAAUACCGCAUACGAUCUAUGGAUGAAAGCGGGGGAUCGCAAGACCUCGCGCGAUUGGAGCGGCCGAUAUCAGAUUAGGUAGUUUGUGGGGUAAAGGCCCACCAAGCCAACGAUCUGUAGCUGGUCUGAGAGGACGACCAGCCACGCUGAAACGGAGACACGGUCCAGACUCCUACGGGAGGCAGCAGUGGGGAAUUUUGGACAAUGGGCGAAAGCCUGAUCCAGCCAUUCCGCGUGCAGGAUGAAGGCCCUCGGGUUGUAAACUGCUUUUGUACAGAACGAAAAGGUUUCUACUAAUACUAGGAGCUCAUGACGGUACUGUAAGAAUAAGCACCGGCUAACUACGUGCCAGCAGCCGCGGUAA
rnacentral:rRNA from 1 species